UACGGAGGGGGCUAGCGUUGUUCGGAAUUACUGGGCGUAAAGCGCACGUAGGCGGCUUUGUAAGUUAGAGGUGAAAGCCCGGGGCUCAACUCCGGAAUUGCCUUUAAGACUGCAUCGCUAGAAUUGUGGAGAGGUAAGUGGAAUUCCGAGUGUAGAGGUGAAAUUCGUAGAUAUUCGGAAGAACACCAGUGGCGAAGGCGACUUACUGGACCGGUAUUGACGCUGAUGUGCGAAAGCGUGGGGAGCAAACAGG
rnacentral:rRNA from 1 species